rnacentral:rRNA from 1 species
UACGGAGGGUGCGAGCGUUAUCCGGAUUUAUUGGGCUUAAAGGGUGUUCAGGCUGGAAAUUAAGUCAGUGGUGAAAUGUCUGCGCUUAACGCAGGAGCUGCCAUUGAUACUGAUUUUCUUGAGAGAAUAUGACGCCGGCGGAAUGCGACAAGUAGCGGUGAAAUGCACAGAUAUGUCGCAGAACUCCAAUAGCGAAGGCAGCUGUCGAAUAUUUCUCUGACGCUGAAGCACGAAAGCGUGGGUAGCGAACAGG